GUGCUCACUUCUGCAGCACACUAAAAUUGGAAUGAUACAAAGAACAUUAGCACGGCCGCUGCACAAGGACGACAUGAAAAUUCAUGAGGCAUUCUGUAUUUUU
ensembl:snRNA U6 U6 spliceosomal RNA